AGGGAUGUAGCUCCGUGGUAGAGCAUCUGCCUUGUAUGUAUCUUGGGUUCAAUUCCCACUAGCAUCUCCA